rnacentral:rRNA from 1 species
AUUGAACGCUGGCGGCAGGCCUAACACAUGCAAGUCGAGCGGAUGAAGGGAGCUUGCUCCUGGAUUCAGCGGCGGACGGGUGAGUAAUGCCUAGGAAUCUGCCUGGUAGUGGGGGAUAACGUCCGGAAACGGGCGCUAAUACCGCAUACGUCCUGAGGGAGAAAGUGGGGGAUCUUCGGACCUCACGCUAUCAGAUGAGCCUAGGUCGGAUUAGCUAGUUGGUGGGGUAAAGGCCUACCAAGGCGACGAUCCGUAACUGGUCUGAGAGGAUGAUCAGUCACACUGGAACUGAGAAACGGGCCAGAACCCUACGGGAGGGAGCAGUGGGGAAAUUUUGAACAUGGGGGGAAGCCUGAUCCAGCCAUGCCGGGUGUGGGAAAAAGGUUUUCGGAUUGGAAAGCACUUUUAGGUGGGAGGAAGGGCAGGAAGUUAAAAACUUGCUGGUUUGACGUUACCAACAGAAUAAGCAACGGCUAACUUCGUG